rnacentral:rRNA from 1 species
UACGGGGGGGAGCAAGCGUUGUUCGGAUUUACUGGGCGUAAAGGGCUCGUAGGCGGCCCUCUCAGUCGAAACGUGAAAUCCCUAGGCUCAACCUAGGAACUGCGUCCGAUACUGGCAGGCUUGAAUCCGGGAGAGGGAUGGCGGAAUUCCAGGUGUAGCGGUGAAAUGCGUAGAUAUCUGGAGGAACACCGGGUGGCGAAGGCGGCAUCCUGGACCGACAUUGACGCUGAACGGCGAAAGCUAGGGGAGCAAACGGG